CAAUCAAACCGGGAGAUAGCUGGUUCUCCCCGAAAGCUAUUUAGGUAGCGCCUCGUGAAUUCAUCUCCGGGGGUAGAGCACUGUUUCGGCAAGGGGGUCAUCCCGACUUACCAACCCGAUGCAAACUGCGAAUACCGGAGAAUGUUAUCACGGGAGACACACGGCGGGUGCUAACGUCCGUCGUGAAGAGGGAAACAACCCAGACCGCCAGCUAAGGUCCCAAAGUCAUGGUUAAGUGGGAAACGAUGUGGGAAGGCCCAGACAGCCAGGAUGUUGGCUUAGAAGCAGCCAUCAUUUAAAGAAAGCGUAAUAGCUCACUGGUCGAGUCGGCCUGCGCGGAAGAUGUAACGGGGCUAAACCAUGCACCGAAGCUGCGGCAGCGACGCUUAUGCGUUGUUGGGUAGGGGAGCGUUCUGUAAGCCUGCGAAGGUGUGCUGUGAGGCAUGCUGGAGGUAUCAGAAGUGCGAAUGCUGACAUAAGUAACGAUAAAGCGGGUGAAAAGCCCGCUCGCCGGAAGACCAAGGGUUCCUGUCCAACGUUAAUCGGGGCAGGGUGAGUCGACCCCUAAGGCGAGGCCGAAAGGCGUAGUCGAUGGGAAACAGGUUAAUAUUCCUGUACUUGGUGUUACUGCGAAGGGGGGACGGAGAAGGCUAUGUUGGCCGGGCGACGGUUGUCCCGGUUUAAGCGUGUAGGCUGGUUUUCCAGGCAAAUCCGGAAAAUCAAGGCUGAGGCGUGAUGACGAGGCACUACGGUGCUGAAGCAACAAAUGCCCUGCUUCCAGGAAAAGCCUCUAAGCAUCAGGUAACAUCAAAUCGUACCCCAAACCGACACAGGUGGUCAGGUAGAGAAUACCAAGGCGCUUGAGAGAACUCGGGUGAAGGAACUAGGCAAAAUGGUGCCGUAACUUCGGGAGAA
rnacentral:rRNA from 1 species